rnacentral:rRNA from 1 species
UUAUUUUAGCGGCGGACGGGUGAGUAACGUGUGGGUAACCUGCCUUUUACUGGGGGAAUAAUCACUGGAAACGGUGACUAAUACCGCAUACGGGUUCUUGGAAGGCAUCUUCUAGGAAAGAAAGGAUUUAUUCGGUAAAAGAUGGGCCCGCAUCUGAUUAGCUAGUUGGUGAGAUAACAGCCCACCAAGGCGACGAUCAGUAGCCGACCUGAGAGGGUGACCGGCCACAUUGGGACUGAGACACGGCCCAAACUCCUACGGGAGGCAGCAG